rnacentral:rRNA from 1 species
UUUUCCUUUUGGGGAGAUGGACUUGUUAGAAUAACCAACUAGGGGUGAGACAUGACAAUUUUGAGAUCGCAUGGCCUUGAGCCGGCGACGGGCCGCAUGAAUUUCCGCUCUAUCAACUUGUUGGUAGGAUAGGGGCCUACCAAGGUGAUGACGGGUAACGGAGGAUUAGGGUUCGAUUCCGGAGAGGGAGCCUUAGAAAUGGCUACCACAUCUAAGGAAGGCAGCAGGCGCGCAAAUUACCCACUCUCAGCUCGAGGAGGUAGUGACAGGAAAUAACAAUGCGGGACUCUAAUGAGGCCCCGUAAUUGGAAUGAGUACAAUUUAAAUCGUUUAACGAGAACCAAUUGGAGGGCAAGUCUGGUGCCAGCAGCCGCGGUAACUCCAGCUCCAAUAGCAGAAACUAAAGUUGUUGCAGUUAAAAAGCUCGUAGUUGGAUCUCAGGUUAGGAUCUGGUGGUUCACCGAAUGGUGUGACUGCCAGCUUCCGCCUAAUUAGUCGAAUGUUAUUAUGCGUGCUCUUAACCGAGUGCACAAAAUACUCGGCACGUUUACUUUGAACAAAUUAGAGUGCUCAAAG